UACGUAGGGGGCAAGCGUUAUCCGGAUUUACUGGGUGUAAAGGGAGCGUAGACGGCAUGGCAAGUCAGAUGUGAAAGCCCGGGGCUCAACCCCGGGACUGCAUUUGAAACUGUCAGGCUGGAGUGCAGGAGAGGUAAGCGGAAUUCCUAGCGUAGCGGUGAAAUGCGUAGAUAUUAGGAGGAACACCAGUGGCGAAGGCGGCUUACUGGACUGUAACUGACGUUGAGGCUCGAAAGCGUGGGGAGCAAACAGG
rnacentral:rRNA from 1 species